AACGAACGCUGGCGGCAGGCUUAACACAUGCAAGUCGAGCGCCCCGCAAGGGGUGCGGCCGACGGGUGAGUAACGCGUGGGAACGUACCUUUUGGUUCGGAACAACUCCGGGAAACUGGAGCUAAUACCGGAUAAGCCCUAACGGGGAAAGAUUUAUCGCCGAAAGAUCGGCCCGCGUCUGAUUAGCUAGUUGGUGAGGUAACGGCGCACCAAGGCGACGAUCAGUAGCUGGUCUGAGAGGAUGAUCAGCCACACUGGGACUGAGACACGGCCCAGACUCCUACAGGAGGCGGCAGUGGGGAAUAUUGGACAAUGGGCGCAAUCCUGAUCCAGCCAGGCCGCGUGAGUGAUGAAGGCCUUAGGGUUGUAAAGCUCUUUUGUCCGGGAAGAUAAUGACUGUACCGGAAGAAUAAGCCCCGGCUAACUUCGUG
rnacentral:rRNA from 1 species